ACGGAGGGGGCUAGCGUUGUUCGGAAUUACUGGGCGUAAAGCGCACGUAGGCGGGACAGAAAGUCAGGGGUGAAAUCCCAGGGCUCAACCUUGGAACUGCCUUUGAAACUCCUGUUCUUGAGUUCGAGAGAGGUGAGUGGAAUUCCGAGUGUAGAGGUGAAAUUCGUAGAUAUUCGGAGGAACACCAGUGGCGAAGGCGGCUCACUGGCUCGAUACUGACGCUGAGGUGCGAAAGCGUGGGGAGCAAACAG
rnacentral:rRNA from 1 species